GGUAUAUAUAACACCUUACAUCACUAGUGACAGGUAUAUAUAACACCUACAUCACUACUGACAGGUAUAUAUAACACCUACAUCACUAGUGACAGGUAUAUAUAACACCUACAUCACUAGUGACAGGUAUGUAUAACACCUACAUCACUAUUGACAGGUAUAUACUCCUACAUCACUAGUGACAGGUAUAUAUAACUCCUACAUCACUAGUGACAGGUAUAUAUAACACCUACAUCACUAGUGACAGGUAUAUAUAACCCCUACAUCACUAGUGACAGGUAUAUAUAACUCCUACAUCACUAGUGACAGGUAUAUAUAACACCUACAUCACUAGUGACAGGUAUAUAUAACCCCUACAUCACUAGUGACAGGUAUAUAUAACUCCUACAUCACUAGUGACAGGUAUGUAUAACUCCUACAUCACUAGUGACAGGUAUAUAUAACACCUACAUCACUAGUGACAGGUAUGUAUAACUCCUACAUCACUAGUGACAGGUAUAUAUAACACCUACAUCACUAGUGACAGGUAUGUAUAACUCCUACAUCACAAUUCGGUUUGGUAGGAUUGCUAUUUGGUGCAAUUUUAUAUUUUUGAGUUGAACUGGAAUGGCGACCUUUGUAUAUAUUUGAUUGGCAGGGAAUGUCUUCAUGUACAAAAUAUUGUGAUUUUUUCUUGUUGGUGAUCAUUUGUUAGGUAUACAUAAUUACUUAUUACAUGUAGUAGAUGUUCUUCACUGUUUAUUACGUACUGGUAGACUUAUCUGUGUUAUAGUAACAGGCUGGCUAGAUUAUAUUUAACAGCAUUUAUUUAAGUGAGGCGUGUAAGAAUGUAUGGUCCGUAAACAGUUUGGUAUCGGUUGUAAUAAUCACACUUUAAAACUUUUUUGCCCCUUUUUUCAAAUCACUUAUUCAUAUUGAUUAUUUAAUUCUACUUAUUGUAUAGACUACUUAUUUAUUGUUUAUGUUUAUUUUGAUAUUUAUGUUUACAUGUCAAUCAGUAUAAUGUAUCAUAUUUCUUGGUUAUAAAAACUUCUGAUUUUUUGAAAGAAAACUACA